rnacentral:lncRNA from 1 species
UUUGAUCAUCUCAUCAAAGCGAAUGUUCCAACUCCGAGAUGCUUGCACCAGCCCAUAAAUCGAGCGUUGGAGCUUGCACACCUUGUCAGCAUUCUUAGGAUCGACAAAACCUUCUGGCUGCAUCAUAUACAAUUCCUCCUUAAGGAAACCAUUAAGGAAUGCCGUUUUGACGUCCAUUUGCCAUAUCUCAUAAUCAUAGAAUGCGGCAAUUGCUAACAUGAUUCGGACGGACUUCAGCUUCGCUACGGGUGAGAAAGUCUCAUCAUAGUCAACCCCUUGAACUUGUCGAUAACCCUUAGCGACAAGCCGAGCUUUAUAGAUGGUCACAUUACCAUCCGCGUCUGUCUUCUUCUUAAAGAUCCAUUUAUUUUCUAUGGCUCGCCGAUCAACGGGCAAGUCAGUCAAAGUCCAUACUUCGUUUUCAUACAUGGAUCCUAUCUCGGAUUUCAUGGCUUCCAGCCAUUUGUCGGAAUCCGGGCCCGCCAUCGCUUCUUCAUAGUUCGAAGGUUCAUCAUUGUCUAACAACAUGAUUUCCAAGACAGGGUUGCCGUACCACUCUGGUGCGGAACGUGUCCUUGUGGACCUACGAAGUUCAGUAACAACUUGAUCUGAAGGUUCAUGAUCAUCAUCAUCAACUUCCUCUCUAGUCGGUGCAGGCACCUCAGGAACAUUUUCUUGAGCUACGCCACUUACCGGUUCAAGAGGUAAUACUUCAUCAAGUUCUACCUUCCUCCCACUUAUUUCUUUCGAGAGAAACUCCUUCUCUAGAAAGGACCCAUUCUUGGCAACAAAGAUCUUGCCUUCGGAUCUGAGGUCGAAGGUAUACCCAACAGUUUCUUUAGGGUAUCCUAUGAAGACGCAUUUUUCCGACUUCAGUUCGAGCUUUUCAGGUUGAAGUUUCUUGACAUAUGCAUCGCAUCCCCAAACUUUUAGAAACGACAGCUUAGGUUUCUUCCCAAACCAUAAUUCAUACAGUGUCGUCUCAACGGAUUUCGACAGAGCCCUAUUUAAAGUGAAUGCGGCAGUCUCUAAAGCAUAGCCCCAAAAUGAUAGCGGUAAAUCGGUAAGAGACAUCACAGAUCGCAUCAUAUCUAAUAGAGUGCGAUUACGACGUUCGGACACACCAUUACGCUGAGGUGUUCCAGGCAGCGUGAGUUGUGAAACUAUUCCACAUUUUCUUAAGUGUGUGCCAAAUUCGUGACUCAAGUAUUCUCCCCCACGAUCUGAUCGCAAGAACUUGAUUUUCCUGUCACGUUGAUUCUCAACCUCACUCUGAAAUUCCCUGAACUUGUCAAAGGUCUCAGACUUGUGUUUCAUUAAGUAGACAUACCCAUAUCUACUCAAAUCAUCAGUGAGGAUGAGAACAUAACGAUAGCCACCGCGAGCCUCAACACUCAUUGGACCGCACACAUCAGUAUGUAUGAUUUCCAAUAAGUUGGUUGCUCGCUGCAUUGUUCCUGAGAACGGAGUCUUGGUCAUUUUACCCAUGAGGCAUGGUUCGCACGUGUCAAAUGAUUCGUAAUCAAGAGACUCUAAAAGUCCAUCUGCAUGGAGCUUCUUCAUGUAUUUGACACCUAUGUGACCAAGGCGGCAGUGCCACGAGUAUGUGGGACUAUCAUUAUCAACCUUACAUCUUUUGGUAUUCACACUAUGAAUAUGUGUAGCAUUACGCUCGAGAUUCAUUAAGAAUAAACCAUUCACCAUCGGAGCAUGACCAUAAAACAUAUCUCUCAUAUAAAUAGAACAACCACUAUUCUCGGAUUUAAAUGAGUAGCCAUCUCGUAUUAAACGAGAUCCUGAUACAAUGUUCAUGCUCAAAGCUGGCACUAAAUAACAAUUAUUGAGGUUUAAAACUAAUCCCGUAGGUAAAUGUAGAGGUAGAGUGCCGACGGUGAUCACAUCGACCUUGGAACCAUUCCCGACGUGCAUCGUCAUCUCGUCCUUCGCCAGUCUCCGCUUAUUCCGCAGCUCCUGCUUUGAGUUACAAAUGUGAGCAACCGCACCUGUAUCAAAUACCCAGGAGCUACUACGAGUACUAGUAAGGUACACAUCAAUUACAUGUAUAUCACAUAUACCUUUUGUGAUGCCGGCCUUCUUGUCCGCUAAGUAUUUGGGGCAGUUCCGCUUCCAGUGACCACUUCCCUUGCAAUAAAAGCACUCAGUCUCGGGCUUGGGUCCAUUCUUUGGCUUCUUCCCAGCAGCUUGCUUACCGGGCACGGCAACUCCCUUGCCGUCCUUCUUGAAGUUCUUCUUACCCUUGCCUUUCUUGAACUUGGUGGUUUUAUUCACCAUCAACACUUGAUGUUCCUUUUUGACUUCUACCUCUGCUGAUUUCAGCAUUGCAAAUACUUCAGGAAUGGUCUUUUCCAUCCCCUGCAUAUUGAAGUUCAUCACAAAGCUCUUGUAGCUUGGUGGAAGCGACUGAAGGAUUCUGUCAAUGACCGCGUCAUCCGGGAGAUUAACUCCUAGCUGAGUCAAGCGGUUAUGCAACCCAGACAUUUUGAGCAUGUGCUCACUGACAGAACUAUUUUCCUCCAUCUUACAGCUAAAGAACUUGUCGGAGACUUCAUAUCUCUCGACCCGGGCAUGAGCUUGGAAAACCAUUUUCAGCUCUUCGAACAUCUCAUAUGCUCUGUGUCGCUCAAAACGCUUUUGGAGCCCCGGUUCUAAGAUGUAAAGCAUGCCGCACUGAACGAGGGAGUAAUCAUCAGCACGUGUCUGCCAAGCGUUCAUAACGUCUUGGUUCUGCGGGACGGGUGCGUCACCUAGCGGUGCUUCUAGGACAUAAUCUUUCUUGGCAGCUAUGAGGAUGAUCCUCAGGUUCCGGACCCAGUCUGUAUAGUUGCUGCCAUCGUCUUUCAGCUUGGUUUUCUCUAGGAACGCAUUGAAGUUGAGGACAAUGUUGGCCAUUUGAUCUACAAGACAUAUUGUAAAGAUUUUAGACUAAGUUCAUGAUAAUUAAGUUCAUCUAAUCAAAUUAUUCAAUGAACUCCCACUUAGAUAGACAUCCCUCCAGUCAUCUAAGUAUAACAUGAUCCGAGUUGACUAGGCCGUGUCCGAUCAUCACGUGAGACGGACUAGUCAACAUCGGUGAACAUCUUCAUGUUGAUCGUAUCUUCUAUACGACUCAUGCUCGACCUUUCGAUCUUCUGUGUUCCGAGGCCAUGUCUGUACAUGCUAGGCUCGUCAAGUCAACCUAAGUGUAUUACGUGUGUAAAUUUGUCUUACACCCAUUGUAUGUGAACGUUGGAAUCUAUCACACCCGAUCAUCAAGUGGUGCUUCGAAACAACGAACUGUCGCAAUGGCGCACAGUUAGGGGGAACACUUUCUUGAAAUUAUUAUGAGGGAUCAUCUUAUUUACUACCGUCAUUCUAAGUAAACAAGAUGCAAAAACAUGAUAAACAUCACAUGCAAUCAAAUAAUAGUGACAUGAUAUGGCCAAUAUCAUAUAGCUCCUUUGAUCUCCAUCUUGGGGCUCCAUGACCAUCUUGUCACCGGCAUGACACCAUGAUCUCCAUCAUCGUGUCUUCUUGAAGUUGUCUCGUCAUCUAUUACUUCUACUACUAUGGCUAACGCUUUAGCAAUAAAGUAAAGUAAUUACAUGACGUUUAUGUUGACACGCAGGUCAUAAAUAAAUAAAGACAACUCCUAUGGCUCCUGCCGGUUGUCAUACUCAUCGACAUGCAAGUCGUGAUUCCUAUUACAUGAACAUGAUCAAUCUCAUACAUCACAUAUAUCAUUCAUCAUUCAUCACAACCUUUGGUCAUAUCACAUCACAAAACACUUGCUGCAAAAACAAGUUAGAUGUCCUCUAAUUGUUGUUGCAAGUUUUUACGUGGCUGUUAUAGGUUUCUAGCAAGAGCGUUUCUUACCUACGCCAAAACCACAACGUGAAUUGCCAAUUUCUAUUUACCCUUCAUAAGGGCCCUGUUCAUCGAAUCCGAUCCGACUAAAGUGGGAGAGACAGACACCCGCCAGCCACCUUAUGCAACUAGUGCAUGUCAAUCGGUGGAACCGGUCUCACGUAAGCGUACGUGUAAGGUUGGUCCGGGCCGCUUUAUCCCAUGAUGCCGCCGAAUCAAGAUAAGACUAGUAACGGCAAGCAAAUUGACAAUAUCGACGCCCACAACUACUCUGUGUUCUACUCGUGCAUAGUAACUACGCAUAGACCUAGCUCAUGAUGCCACUGUUGGGGAACGUUGCAGAAAACAAAAAAAUUCCUACGUUUCACCAAGAUCAAUCUAUGGAGUCAACUAGCAACGAGAGGAGAGUGCAUCUACAUACCCUUGUAGAUUGCGAGCAGAAGCAUUCAAGAGAACGGGGAUGAUGGAGUCGUACUCGUCGUGAUCCAAAUCACCGAUGACCAAGUGCCGAACGGACAGCACCUCCGCGUUCAACACACGUACGGAGCGGAUGACGUCUCCUCCUUCUUGAUCCAGCAAGGGGGAAGGAGAGGUUGAUGAAGAUCCAGCAGCACGACGGCGUGGUGGUGGAUGCAGCAGUGAUCGCAGCAGGGCUUCGCCGAGCUUCUGCGAGAGGGAGAGGUGUAGCAGGGGAGAGGGAGGCGCCAAGGCUUGAGGUACGACUGCCCUCCCUCCCCCCUUUAUAUAGGCCCCUAGGGGGGUGCGCCGGCCCUAGGAGAUGGGAUCUCCUAGGGGGCGGCGGCCAAGGGGUGGAGUACCCCCCAAGGCAAGUGGAGACGCCCCCUUCCCUAGGGUUCCCAACCCUAGGCGCAUGGGGGGCCCAAGGGGGGUGCACCAGCCCACUAUGGGCUGGUUCCCCUCCCCACUUCAGCCCAUGGGGCCCUUCCGGGAUGGGUGGCCCCACCCGGUGGACCCCCGGGACCCAUCUGGUGGUCCCGGUACAAUACCAGUGACCCUAAAACUUUCCCGAUGGCCGAAACUACACUUCCUAUAUACAAUUCUUCACCUCCGGACAAUUCCGGAACUCCUCGUGACGUCCAGGAUCUCAUCUGGGACUCCGAAAAACUUUUGGAUUACUACAUACUCAUAUCUAUACAACCCUAGCGUCACCGAACCUUAAGUGUGUAGACCCUACGGGUUCGGGAGACAAGCAGACAUGACCGAGACGACUCUCUGGUCAAUAACCAACAGCGGGAUCUGGAUACCCAUGUUGGCUCCCACAUGCUCCUCUAUGAUCUCAUCGGAUGAACCACGAUGUCGAGGACCUAAUUAAUCCCGUACUCAAUUCCCUUUGUCAAUCGGUACGUUACUUGCCCGAGACCCGAUCGUCGGUAUCCCAAUACCUUGUUCAGUCUCGUUACCGGCAAGUCACUUUACUCGUACUGUAAUGCAUGAUCCUGUGAUCAACCACUUGAUCACAUUGAGCUCAUUAUGAUGAUGCAUUACCGAGUGGGCCUAGAGAUACCUCUCCGUCAUACGGAGUGACAAAUCCCAAUCUCGAUUCGUGCCAACCCAACAGACACUUUCGGAGAUACCUGUAAUGUACCUUUAUAGUCACCCAGUUACGUUGUGACGUUUGGCACACCCAAGGUACUCCUAUGGUAUCCGGGAGUUCCACAAUCUCAUGGUCUAAGGAAAUGAUACUUGACAUCCAGAAAAGCUACAGCAAACGAAGUACAUAAUCUUUGUGCUAUGCUUAGGUUUGGGCCUUGUCCAUCACAUCAUUCUCCUAAUGAUGUGAUCCCGUUAUCAAUGACAUCCCCAUGUCCAUAGCCAGGAAACCAUGACUAUCUGUUGAUCAACGAGCUAGUCAACUAGAGGCUCACUAGGGACACAUUGUGGUCUAUGUAUUCACACAUGUAUUACGAUUUCUGGAUAAUACAAUUAUAGCAUGAAUAAUAGACAAUUAUCAUGAACAAGGAAAUAUAAUAAUCAUUUUAUUAUUGCCUCUAGGGCAUAUUUCCAACAAAGUUGAUAAUGAUGGUGCAACAUACUUGUGGCACUGCCGUUUAGGUCAGAUUGGUGUAAAGCGCAUGAAGAAACUCCAUGUAGAUGGGCUUUCGGAAUCACUUGAUUAUGAAUCAUUUGAUACUUGCGAACCAUGCCUCAUGGGUAAGAUGACUACAACUCUGUUCUCCAGAACAUUGGAGCGAGCUAAUGACUUAUUGUAAAUAAUACAUACCGAUGUAUGUGGUCCGAUAAGUGUUGAGGCACACAGUGGGUAUCGUUAUUUUCUGACCUUCACAAAUGAUUUGAGUAGGUAUGGGUAUAUCUACUUGAUGAAACACAAGUCUGAAACAUUUUAAAAGUUUAAAGAAUUUCAGAGUGAAGUGGAGAAUCAUCAUAACAAGAAAAUAAAGUUUGUACGAUCUGAUUACGGAGGCGAAUAUUUGAGUUACAAGUUUGGCCUUCAUUUAAAACAAUGUGGAAUUGUUUCAAAACUCACGCCACCUAGAACACCACAGCGUAAUGGUGUGUCCGAACAGCGUAACCGUACUUUAUUAGAUAUGGUGCGAUCCAUCAUGUCUCUUACCGAUUUACCACUAUCGUUUUGGGGUUAUGCAUUUGAGAUAGCCGCAUUCACAUUAAAUAGGGCUCCCUCUAAAUCCGUUAAGACGACACAGUAUGAACUGUGGUUUGGCAAGAAACCUAAGUUGUCGUUUCUUAAAGUUUGGGUUUGCGACACUUAUGUCAAAAGGCUUCGGUCUGAUAAGCUCGAACCCAAUUCAGAGAAGUGCGUCUUCAUAGGAAACUCUAAGGAAACAAUUGGGUACACCUUCUACCCCAGAUCUGAAGGCAAGAUCUUUGUUGCCAAGAAUGGAACCUUUCUAGAGAAGGAGUUUCUCUCGAAAGAAGUGAGUGGGAGGAAAGUAGAACUUGAUGAGGUAAUAGUACCUUCUCUCAAAUUGGAGAGUGGCACAUAACAGAAAACCGUUCUCGUGAUGCCUGCACCAACUAGAGAGGAAGCAAAUGAUAAUGAUCAUGAAACUUUAGAUCAAGUUGCUACUAAACCUUAUAGGUCAACCAGAGCACGAUCCGCACCAGAGUGGUAUGGUAAUCCUAUUCUGGAAGUCAUGUUAUUAGACCAAGGCGAACCUACGAACUAUGAAGAAGCUAUAAUGAGCCCAGAUUCCGACAGAUGGCUUGAGGCCAUGAAAUCUGAGAUAGGAUCCAUGUAUGAGAACAAAGUGUGGACUUUGGUGGACUUUCCUGAUGAUCGACAGUCCAUAGAGAAUAAAUGGAUCUUCAAGAAGAAGACUGACACUAAUUGUAAUGUUACUGUCUACGAAGCUCGACUUGUUGCGAAAGGUUUUGACAAGUUCAAGGAGUUGAUUACGGUGGGGCUUUCUCACCCAUAGUGAUGCUUAAGUCUGUUCGAAUCAUGUUAGCAAUUGUUGCCUUUUAUGAUUAUGAAAUCUAGCAAAUGGACGUCAAAACUGCAUUCCUUAAUUGAUUUCUUAUAGAAGAGUUGUAUAUGAUGCAACCAGAAGGUUUUGUCAAUCCUAAAGGUGCUAACAAAGUGUGCAAACUCCGCCGAUCCAUCUAUGGACUGGUGCAGGCAUCUCGGAGUUGGAAUAUACACUUUGAUGAGGUGAUCAAAGCAUAUGGUUUUAUACAGACUUUUGGUGAAGCAUGUAUUUACAAGAAAGUGAGUGGGAGCUCUGUAGCAUUUCUAAUAUUAUAUGUGGAUGCAUAUUGUUGAUUGGAAAUGAUAUAGAAUUUCUGAAUAGCAUAAAAGGAUACUUGAAUAAGAAUUUUUCAAUGAAAUACCUCGGUGAAGCUACUUACGUAUUGAGCAUCAGGAUCUAUAGGGAUAGAUCGAGACGCUUAAUAGGACUUUCACAAAGCACAUACCUUGACAAAGUUUUGAAGGAGUUCAAAAUGGAUCAGUCAAAGAAAGGGUUCUUACCUGUAUUCAAGGUAUGAAAUUGAGUAAGACUGAAAGCCCGACCACGGAAGAAGAUAGAGAGAGAAUGAAAGUCAUUCCCUAUGCCUCAGCCAUAGGUUCUAUAAAAUAUGCCAUGAUGUGUACCAGACAUAUUGUGUACCUUGCCAUGAGUUUGGCAAAGGGGUACGAUAGUGAUCGAGGAGUAGAUCAUUGAACAGCGGUCAAAAUUAUCCUUAGUUACCUAAGAGGACUAAGGAAAUAUUUCUCGGUUAUGGAGGUGAUAAAGAGUUCAUCGUAAAGGGUUACGUUGAUGCAAGCUUUAACACUGAUCCAGAUGACUCUGAGUCUCAAUGUGGAUACGUAUUGAAAGUGGGAGCAAUUAGCUAGAGUAGCUCCAUGCAGAGCAUUGUAGACAUAGAAAUUUGCAAAAUACAUACGGAUCUGAAUGUGGUAGACCCGUUGACUAAACUUCUCCCACAAGCAAAACAUGAUCACACCUUAGUACUCUUUGGGUAUUAAUCACAUGGCGAUGUGAACUAGAUUAUUGACUCUAGUAAACUCUUUGGGUGUUGGUCACAUGGCGAUGUGAACUAUGGGUGUUAAUCACAUGGUGAUGUGAACUAGAUUAUUGACUCUAGUGCAAGUGGGAGACUAAAGGAAAUAUGCCCUAGAGGCAGUAAUAAAGUUAUUCCUUUAUAUUUCCUUAUUCAUGAUAAAGGUUUAUUGUUCAUGCUAGAAUUGUAUUGAUUGAAAACUUAAAUACAUGUGUGAAUACAUAAAAAACACUGUGUCCCUAGUAAGCCUCUACUAGACUAGCUCAUUGAUCAAAGAUGGUUAAGGUUUCCUAACCAUGGAAAUGUGUUGUCAUUUGAUAACGAGAUCACAUCAUUAGGAGAAUGAUGUGAUGGACAAGACCCAUCCGUUAGCUUAGCAUAAUGAUCGUUCAGUUUUAUUGCUAAUGCUUUCUUCAUGUCAAAUACAUAUUCCUUCGACUAUUAGAUUGUGCAACUCCCGGAUACCAAAGGAAUACCUUGUGUUCUAUCAAACGUCUCAACAUAACUGGGUGAUCAUAAAGAUGCUCUACAGGUACCUCCGAAGUUGUUUGUUGAGUUGGCAUAGGUCGAGACUAGGAUUUGUCACUCCGAGUAUCCGAGAGGUAUCUCUGGGCCCUCUCGGUAAUACACAUCAUAAGCUUGCAAGCAAAUGACUAAGGAGUUAGUCAUGAGGUGAUGUAUUACAGAAGGAGUAAAGAGACUUGCCAGUAACGAGAUUGAACUAGGUAUGAAGAUACCGACGAUCGAAUUCCGGGCAAGUAACAUACCAAUGGACAAAGGGAAUUAUGUAUGUUGUCAUAACGGUUCGACCGAUAAAGAUCUUUGUAGAAUACGUAGGAGCCAAUAUGGGCAUCCAAGUUCUGCUAUUGGUUAUUGACCGAAGAGGUGUCUCGGUCAUGUCUACAUAGUUCUCGAACCCAUAGGGUCUGCACGCUUAACGUUCGUUGAUGAUAUAGUGAUGCGGAGCAUCCUACAGUCAUCCCCAUGGACCUACCAUCGUCUCACGAAGUGCCAAGAGGACCUAUGACACAAGCUAGAGAUGGAGCUCUCAAGACCGAGGUGACUUCCUUCCUUAGUGAUAUCACAUAUGAUCCACUCAAGACAUGGCUACUACCUAAGUCCGAGAUGUUGUGCAUGAUUAGGUACCAAGAGGACCCUCCCGAAGAUGCAUGUGAAGACAGACAAGUCCCCAAGUUCACGGAUGAAGAGAACCGACGGAAGGAGUCAAGUACAACUCCCAGGCCCCGGACAUCCGGCCAUGACCCCGGACAUCUGGCCCCUGGAGCAACAGUCGCUCACCUAAAGGCCCCAGACAUCCGGCCCCAGCCCGGAAAUCCGGCACCCUCCAUCCAGAGAGCGUCAAAGCCAGCCCCGACAGCCCGGACAUCCGGCCACCCCAGCCCAGACAUCCGGCCCCUCGCAAACCCCCGGACAUCCGACCUCCCUUGUCUGCGUAUGGUGUAAGGGUCGCGGCCCGUGUACCCCUUCGCCCACCUAGACUAUAUAUAUAUACCCCCCCUCCUCCAUCUUUCUAGGGUUAGCAAAGGAUUUGCUCAUUUUGUGUGAGAGCUUUGCUCAUCCACUUGGUUACCUUCUCCUCGGAGAUCGCGCCUCCUCGGAGGAGAUCCCCCAAGAGGAUUCAAGACCCCUUCACGGGAAGAACUCAAGACCUCCUCACGGAGAAGAUCGUGCUACUUGUAUCGUCCCUAGUUGACUAUGGAUCUUGUAUCUCUUUGUGUUUCGAGGAUCUAGCAUAUGUGCGACCUAAUCUUGUUGGUUUGAGUGAUUCUCUUGUGUUUUCCCCUCAUGUUUCCCCUCGUGUUCCUCGUGUUCCUCGCGGGAUCCUCUCCUUUCGUGAAAGAUCGGCCAUCUAGGGUUCCACCCUACAUCAUCUUGGUAUCAUGAGCCACGUUGAUCACGAUUUCGGAGCCUCCCCGUUGUGUUUUCUAGCCUUGUUUUGUUGAUUUUGUCCCUAAUUCGAAAAUUCCCCACAAAAAUAGCCCCCAAUUUUUUUUGUGAUUUGUUGGUGUGAUGAAGUUUUGUUGGAUUUGAUCCAUGGAUUUCAUGUGUUGCGGGUAGAUCUAGCUUUACCCCAUCUUUUCCCCAAUUCCCAUCCACAAAAUCCCCCGAAUUUUGCCCCGAUUUGCCACUUUCCACGCAGAGUUCAUCAAGUUCGUCC